rnacentral:rRNA from 1 species
UACGAAGGUGGCUAGCGUUGUUCGGAUUUAUUGGGCGUAAAGGGUCCGUAGGCGGUUUGAUAAGUCAGGUGUGAAAUCCCACAGCUUAACUGUGGACACGCAUUUGAUACUGUUAGACUAGAGUAUGAGAGGGGUGAGAGGAACUUCCAGUGUAGGGGUGAAAUCCGUAGAUAUUGGAAAGAACACCGGCCGCGAAGGCGUUUCACUGGCUCAUUACUGACGCUCAGGGACGAAAGCUAGGGGAGCAAACGGG